rnacentral:rRNA from 1 species
GACGAACCGUGCGAACGUUAUUCGGAAUCACUGGGCUUAAAGCGCGUGUAGGCGGGCGGGUACGUCGGCGACUGAAAGCCCCCGACUCAACCGGGGAAGGGGUGCCGAAACGGCCGGCCUGGAGGGGCGUAGGGGGACCUGGAACUUCCGGUGGAGCGGUGAAAUGCGUUGAGAUCGGAAGGAACGCCCGUGGCGAAAGCGCUCUACUGGACCGCAACUGACACUCAGGGACGAAAGCUAGGGGAGCGAAUGGG